rnacentral:piRNA from 1 species
UACCAGAGCAUAGCAGGAAUUUGCAUGGGU